UGCCUAUACCAGACCGCCGGUGGCAGAGCCUGCCCCCUGUAAAGGGGUGCACUGAGGCCCCGGUGAGUAGGGGGGUCGCCGCGGUGAGCGUAGAAGGGUCUGGGCGUAAGCCUGCCUGGAGCCGCCGCUGGUGCAGAUCUUGGUGGUAGUAGCAAAUACUCCAGAGAGAUCCUGGAGGACUGACGUGGAGAAGGGUUUCAUGUGAACAGUGGUUGAACAUGAGUCAGUCGGUCCUAAGCCGCAGGUGAAAUCCGGCCCAGGGAACGGCGCGUCGACUGUUUUGUUACAAAACGUGACGAAGCGCCGCUGGGUUAGGCGAAAGGGAAUCCGGUUCUAAUUCCGGAACCCGGUUGCGGAUACGUCCGAGCUCUCGUAGCUCGUCAUGGUAACAUGACAUGACCCGGAGAAGCUGGCGGGGACCCCGGGAAGAGUUUUCUUUUCUGCUUGAGGGGUCGAGACCCUGGAAUUCUGUCGCGGAGCGAUAGGGUUUUGACCCCGAAGAGCGCCGCAGGUCUGCGGCGUCCGUGGGUUCUUGCCGGCCCUUGAAAAUCCGGGGGAGGGCCACGUGGACUUUCCAACCGGACCGUACCGAUAUCCGCAUCAGGUCUCCAAGGUGAACAGCCUCUAGUCGAUAGAUGAAUGUAGGUAA
rnacentral:rRNA from 1 species